AAGAUAUCGAGUCGCCCCGAAAGAAAAUAAAGGGAAAUCUACCAGCCCUAGCACUCUAGCAGAUUUGUGAAGGCUGCUGCCGCCGGAUCUCGUCCCGGUGCUCUUCGCCAACGAAAUCUCCCAGGGAUCCCCUCGCCAUCGUCCAUUCACCUGAAGGCACUAACUCCCCAGCAUGCGAGCCCACUGGCGGCGCGCGAUUCCGAGGAGUCCUGAGGUAAGCAACUGCCGCCAGCCCCCUUCUCUUCCCAUAUCUGAUCUGUGAUUUUCCUGUUUUUGUUUUCCGGCGGAUGUGAGAUCUGUUAGGUAGCUGCCGAAACCAACGUGGCAUUGGGCUGCAAUCUGGAAACGGAGGACGAUUUGAUUUAGAUUUAGUGGUUACUGGCUGACACAAGCAAAAUAUUGCGGCAUCAAGAAUCACUCCUCGACAUGCUGCAACCGUACAAGGCAGAAUGCGAGCGCUCUAUGUUUCUGAACGAGGGUGGUACUAGAUUGAUGUAAUAAAGGAUUACACAUAUAUAGUCAUUUGCAGACACUUGUUAACUGCAUUUUAUAGCCUUUAUCUCUUACAUUGCCACAUAUUAUGCCCCAUCAAACUUUGUAAUGUUAAAAGGUAUUGCUGUUUGCAA